GCCCUUCGGGGCAUAUGGUCUUCUAAAAAUAUAUAGAGAAGAUUAGCAUGGCCCCUGCACUAAGGAUGACAUGCGUAAUCAAAGAGAAGCUACCAAUUUUU
rnacentral:snRNA from 1 species